UACGUAGGGUGCAAGCGUUGUCCGGAAUUACUGGGCGUAAAGCGCACGUAGGCGGCUUUGUAAGUUAGAGGUGAAAGCCUGGAGCUCAACUCCAGAAUUGCCUUUAAGACUGCAUCGCUUGAAUCCAGGAGAGGUGAGUGGAAUUCCGAGUGUAGAGGUGAAAUUCGUAGAUAUUCGGAAGAACACCAGUGGCGAAGGCGGCUCACUGGACUGGUAUUGACGCUGAGGUGGACGAAAGCGUGGGGAGCAAACAGG
rnacentral:rRNA from 1 species